AUGGGACUAGGCAGAGUUUUGUGUUACUUUACUCUAGUAAUCUUCAUUCAAUAUUCCUGCAGUCAGACACUGAUCGAGUCUGAUCCAGUGAUCAUCAAACCUGAUCAGUCUCAUAAACUGACCUGCACAGCCUCUGGAUUUACCUUUAGUAGCUAUUACAUGGCUUGGAUCAGACAGGCACCUGGAAAAGGGCUGGAAUGGGUUGCAACUAUCUCAGUAUUGCAGUAGUUACAUAUAUUACUCCAGUGCUGUUAAGGGCCGCUUCACCAUCUCCAGAGACAACAGUAAGAAGCAGGUGUAUCUACAGAUGAACAGCAUGAGGACAGAAGACACUGCAGUUUAUUACUGCGCCCGUGAACCACAGUGAUACUUCCCCUUAGACAUCAGUACAAAAACACAGACUUACCAUUGACACAUGAAAAGAUCACAGUCUGUUACAAACAAUAUUACAAAAUUUAAACUUUAAUUUUUAAAUUUUUAUUGCAUAUUUCUUUUCUUUUUUAAAGCUUUGAGAAAAUAUCCAUUGUUAAAUGUGUUAUAUAAAUAAAGUGAAUUAAAUUGACAGAUUAAAAACUAUGGAAGUAGAUGUUCACAAAUCUGGGGAAAAAAUUCAUAUUAAUUUCCCUAUUAAUUGAUUUGGUUAAACCAAAUGAUUUACUAUGUUACUGCUGAUACUGUGUCUGAGUGUGUUCUCUCUUUUAAACCUUUCUGAUAAAAAAUACUCCAAGUCUGAA